GGAGGUACUCAGCCCAUGACUAGCAUUUAAUCAAGGUCAUGGGAAAUUAUAUCAGGCCACGGGGGAUAGAAAACUAGAAGAGCUGUUUUCAUUUCCAACCUAAGGAAACAAAGAGAUGGAAGAAAAUGUGGUACUUGGAUGGAGUGAGAACUGCCAGACCCGCGAGCCUGGGAAUAAGGUCAUAGGUCAAUUUUCCUGGGAGAGCUGCAACAAGGCUGUCUGCCCUAGUUUCUUCUCUACAGCAAAGGAGAAGCAGCAUGAAAGUAACCAACGUUUGUUGAAUACGUCAGUGUAAGCAUGAACCACUGGAUACAGACCUACCAAGAAGAGAAGAAGAAUAAGCCAAGAAAAAAAGUGCAGUCCAUGGAGAUCCAGAGACCUGAGGAUGAGUUACAAUGGUGUUGCUCUAGGUGAAAAUAUGAAGAUGUGAGACUCACUCAGAGGAUAUGAAGGACUUCUCAAAUGGAUGAAAGAAAGGUGUUCUAGUGAAGAUACUGUUUUGAUAGAAAUUUUUAACCACGUAGAAAAGGGCUGCAUGCCUCAUUUGACUAAAACUAGUGCAUCUCAUGAAUUCUUGACUUGUCAAUAAAUAUUAAAAGACUGUU